UUUCUCCAAAAGGAAUUGCACUUCCUCCUCAGAGAAAAGCACGCAGCUUUUUUUAACAACGAAGUCGUCAUCCUCUUCCUCUGCCUCGAGCUAGGGUUCCGAAUCGGUUGCUUGCAUCUCGUCCUUCGCCGGUUCUUCAUCAUCUUCUUCAUCUUUUUCCUCGACCAGUUUCCUUGGUCCUCCAUGUGGAACGUGCGUUCGAGAUCGCAAAUCGCAGGCUGACGAGCGAUCUUGGUAAACCCCGAGCGAAAGUAGGUGUACAGAACCGAACCGACCUGCGUUUCCUUUGUCAUGAGGUUGAAAAUGGCAGGGAGGAAUCGAGUGUUGCGCGAGCCGUUUAGUAGCCGGCGUGGUUACCCUCCUGAAGGCCCUUAUGUCCGUGGUCCGCCUCUGCCUCGGCCGCCUCCUCCCCCUGCUUUGUUGGAGGAGGAGCUCGAGAUGCAACACGCCGAGCUUCGGAGGGUGUUGGCGGAUAACCGCAGGCUGGUUGAAGAUCGGAUUGCGCUGCAGCGGGAGCUUGGUGCUGCCAAGGAGGAGAUUCAUCGGAUGAACCUUGUUAUCGGAGAUAUCCGCGCAGAGCACGACAUUCACUCGAGGGAGUUCAUCGAGAAAGGUUUGAAGCUUGAAGCCGAUCUUCGCGCGGCCGAGCCUUUGAAAAAGGAAGCUGGGCAGCUUCGUGCCGAAGUUCAGAAGCUGAAUAACGUGAAGCAGGAUCUUGCUGGGCAAGUUCAAAAUCUGACGCAGGACGUUGCUAGAUUGAAGGCUGAAAACAAGCAGAUUUCUCUCUUGAGGGCGGAAAUCGAUGGUCUCAACCAGGAGCUCAUGCAUGCUAGAUCUACUGUCGAAUAUGAGAGGAAAGCAAACAUUGAAUUGGUGGAACAAAGACAGGCAAUGGAGAAUACUUUGGUUUCUAUGGCGCGGGAGGUCGAGAAGUUGCGUGCUGAACUCGCUGCUGGUGAUGUCAGAUCAUGGGGUGCUGGUGGAGGACCAUAUGGGAGGAAAUUUAACACUGGGGAAGGGAGUUUCGCUGCACCAUAUGGGGAUGGCUAUGGUGUUCACCUGGGUUCUGGUAACGGUCCUCUCUAUGGUCCUGGAUCUGCUUCACGGGGAGGACAUGACAAGCCUCGCAUUAAUCGUCGUUGAGAGUUGGACGGUGAUUGUUGUAACUGAAUAUGCACCACAUGUCGUUUGCUGAGCAGUUGAAGGAGUUAAUGGGAGGGAAGGCACAAAUUUGUCAAUUGGCACACCCCAUGAGUAGUCUAUUAUCUGAAUGCAUCAUGGAGAUACUUUCUUGCGAUGCCCGACCUGGAGGAUGUCACAUUUUUCUGUUGGGGAGCCAAAUGGGUUGGAUGUCCAUCCAAUGACUAUAGGUUAGACCUGAACCAACUGAACUUGUAAUAAUUCUUUUUGACUGUACGUGCACCAUUUACAAUAAUAGGAAAAUCCCAUCUGACCUACAAACACAAAGAAGUUGGUUAAGGGCCUGCUAGUUUUUCAAUAUAUUUUCUAUUCAUAGGAGCAGUGAAACUAGAUACAUUUUUUUGUCGACCCUCCCGCCGUCUCUUUCUCUCUCCUGAUACGCAUAGAAGAUAGAUGAGUUUUGCCUGAAUGUGUGAUGAAGACAUUCCUAUAUGAUGAUUUGCGUUCUUUAACUCGAAUCUGUAUGAUAUCAUUCUGGUGCCUUUCCUUAACAUCUCAAAUUUGCUCCUAUAGUUGCCAUAUACUAAUUACCUUGUUCUUUUUUGAAACCGUCACCUAAGGCAAAAUUCUAUGGCUGAUAUCUUUUUGGUGCCUUUCCUCAUUAUCUGUCUUCUUGUAAGAGUUGAUAUGUGGCAAUUGCAAAGGUUUGUCAUUGAGAUGCAUCCUGAUGUCUAUUUCGUUUGCUAUCUUUUCUAAGUCCAGAUUUUUUUUGUUGUUGUUCAACACAGUGGAAGAGUUCAUUGGAACACAGUUGCUCUGCUUGUAGACUGCAUACACACUUAAAAAGUUGUUCAUACUAGCAGAGGGCAUCAUAUAUUCAGAUUCUUCACAGCUGAAAUUGCCAGAUGAUUACUGUUAGGAUUGAGGCACAAUAAGGUGCCUCUAUGGAGGCAGUUUGAUGAGGUGAUGUAUUUUUGGUCUUAGUUGCGAGAUUGCAGUGACUGUUAUUUUGGCUGAUGCUUUCUCCUUGGUCACUGUCUAUUUGUUCUCAUUUUUCAAAUCGGAGAAAUUCAGGAUGUGAAACUGUAAGAGGAGUUACUUGUACCUUACAAAGGUGGCCACAUGAGAAUAGAUAUGAAGUAUUUAGUGAUAUAUGAUCUCUAGGAGAGGACCUUUGCUGUUGGCUGAUCGAGC